rnacentral:rRNA from 1 species
UACGUAGGGUGCGAGCGUUGUCCGGAAUUACUGGGCGUAAAGAGCUCGUAGGUGGUUUGUCGCGUUGUCCGUGAAAACUCACAGCUCAACUGUGGGCGUGCGGGCGAUACGGGCAGACUGGAGUACUGCAGGGGAGACUGGAAUUCCUGGUGGUAGCGGUGGAAUGCGCAGAUAUCGAGGGAGGAACACCGGUGGCGAAGGCGGGGUCUCUGGGGCCGAUACUGACGCUGAGGAGCGAAAGCGUGGGGGAGCGAACAGG